GCCGGGGUGGCGAAACUGGUAGACGCAUCAGACUCAAAAUCUGACGGUGGAAACACCGUGCCGGUUCGAUUCCGGCUCCCGGUACCA
rnacentral:tRNA from 2 species